rnacentral:rRNA from 1 species
CUCCCUUCGGGGAGCAAGUAGAGUGGCGCACGGGUGAGUAACACGUAGGUAAUCUACCUUUGGAUGGGGAAUAACAACCGGAAACGGUUGCUAAUACCGCAUAAUGCAGCGGCACCUAAUGGUGACAGUUGUUAAAGCGGGGGAUCGCAAGACCUCGCGUCUGAAGAGGAGCCUGCGGCAGAUUAGCUAGUUGGUAAGGUAACGGCUUACCAAGGCGAUGAUCUGUAGCCGGCCUGAGAGGGCGGUCGGCCACACUGACACUGACAUACGGGUCAGACUCCUACGGGAGGCAGCAGUCGGGAAUUUUGGGCAAUGGGCGAAAGCCUGACCCAGCAACGCCGCGUGAAGGAUGAAAUCCCUCGGGAUGUAAACUUCGCAAGAACGGGAAGAAUAAGUCUGCGCAAAUAUCGCAGAUGAUGACGGUACCGUUUGUAAGCUCCGGCUAACUCCGUGCCAGCAGCCGCGGUAAUACGGGGGGAGCAAGCGUUGUUCGGAUUUACUGGGCGUAAAGGGCGCGUAGGCGGCCACCGCAAGUCGACUGUGAAAUCUCCGGGCUUAACCCGGAACGGUCAGCCGAUACUGCGGGGCUAGAGUGCAGAAGGGGCAACUGGAAUUCUCGGUGUAGCGGUGAAAUGCGUAGAUAUCGAGAGGAACACCUGCGGCGAAGGCGGGUUGCUGGGCUGACACUGACGCUGAGGCGCGAAAGCUAGGGGAGCGAACGGGAUUAGAUACCCCGGUAGUCCUAGCCCUAAACGAUGAAUGCUUGGUGUCUGGGGUUUUAUAGUCCCCGGGUGCCGUCG